UCAACCAGGAAUGAUAUUGUACGAGUUAUGCGAUUUGUUUGGAAUGUACAUGAUAGAUGAAACAAGUUAUGGACCAAAUCAUGUUGCUCUUGCUGAAAACUUUGACUGAGGAAUGUAUGCUUGCCUAAUUUGGUUGUUUGGAGGAGGGGAGAGUGAGUUUUCUGUUGGUAUAAGGCGAGUCUUGGUUCAACAGGAAUAAGACAGUUUGACUUAUAAGAAGUUAACCCAAAGUAGAAGUUGAAGAAUAUCAUGUUGGGGCAUCAUGAGGCAAAGGUAAAGUAUUAAUAUUAAAGCUCCAACAUAAUGAUGAUGCUGCUGCUCAAGUCUAUGGUCGAACUACAUAACCUGUGGAAAAGCAUAUGAAUAACUCUGUA
rnacentral:lncRNA from 1 species